UGGGGGCAUGAGCGUGGUGGACUAUACUACUUUGGUGAUCCGUCAACAUCUAGUGUUUUGUCCUAUAGUCUUCAAGCCUACGCUCACCGGUCUUAGAGUCCUCCGUUUUAAGUCCGUUAUGUUUUAAAUUCAUCUAUUUUCUAUUAAAACUUUAGAUUCGUGGCAUACUCGUUUAGGGCAUACAAAUUUCUAGUAUUUUGUUGAUUUUCCCCCUAUGAAUAAAGCAUGCAAGAAAGUUCAUUUUAAAUGUCUUUUGUGAAUUUUCUAAACAUAUUCGCACAUCUUAUAUUCCUCGCUGCAUCAUGAACCUAUUGC
rnacentral:lncRNA from 1 species